rnacentral:rRNA from 1 species
AGAGACAGCAGUAGCCGCGGUAAUACGUAGGUCCCGAGCGUUGUCCGGAUUUAUUGGGCGUAAAGCGAGCGCAGGCGGUUAGAUAAGUCUGAAGUUAAAGGCUGCGGCUUAACCAUAGUACGCUUUGGAAACUGUUUAACUCGAGUGCAAGAGGGGAGAGUGGAAUUCCAUGUGUAGCGGUGAAAUGCGUAGAUAUAUGGAGGAACACCGGUGGCGAAAGCGGCUCUCUGGCUUGUAACUGACGCUGAGGCUCGAAAGCGUGGGGAGCAAACAGGAUUAGAUACCCGAGUAGUCCCUGUCUCUUAUACC